rnacentral:rRNA from 1 species
GUGUCAGCAGCCGCGGUAAUACGUAGGGUCCGAGCGUUAAUCGGAAUUACUGGGCGUAAAGCGUGCGCAGGCGGUUUUGUAAGCCAGUCGUGAAAUCCCCGGGCUUAACCUGGGAAUGGCGAUUGGGACUGCAAGGCUCGAGUGCGGCAGAGGGGGGUGGAAUUCCACGUGUAGCAGUGAAAUGCGUAGAUAUGUGGAGGAACAUCAAUGGCGAAGGCAGCCCCCUGGGUCGACACUGACGCUCAUGCACGAAAGCGUGGGGAGCAAACAGGAUUAGAUACCCUGGUAGUCCACGCCCUAAACUAUGUCAACUAGUUGUUGGAGGAUGAACUCCUUUAGUAACGCAGCUAACGCGUGAAGUUGACCGCCUGGGGAGUACGGUCGCAAGAUUAAAACUCAAAUGAAUUGACGGGG